AACGAACGCUGGCGGCAUGCCGAACACAUGCAAGUCGAACGAGAUCUUCGGGUCUAGUGGCGCACGGGUGCGUAACGCGUGGGAAUCUGCCCUUUGGUUCGGAAUAACAGUUGGAAACGACUGCUAAUACCGGAUGAUGACGAAAGUCCAAAGAUUUGUCGCCAGAGGAUGAGCCCGCGUAGGAUUAGCUAGUUGGUGUGGUAAAGGCGCACCAAGGCGACGAUCCUUAGCUGGUCUGAGAGGAUGAUCAGCCACACUGGGACUGAGACACGGCCCAGACUCCUACGGGAGGCAGCAGUGGGGAAUAUUGGACAAAGGGCGAAAGCCUGAUCCAGCAAUGCCGCGUGAGUGAUGAAGGCCUUAGGGUUGUAAAGCUCUUUUACCCGGGAUGAUAAUGACAGUACCGGGAGAAUAAGCUCCGGCUAACUCCGUGCCAGCCGCCGCAGUAA
rnacentral:rRNA from 1 species